rnacentral:rRNA from 1 species
CUACGGGGCGCUCCAGUGAGGAAUUUUGCGCAAUGGGGGAAACCCUGACGCAGCAACGCCGCGUGAGCGAAGAAGGCCCUCGGGUCGUAAAGCUCUGUCAAGUGGGAAAAAAAUUUUUUGAUCAAUAGUCAAAAGACUUGAUGGUACCACUGGAGGAAGCACCGGCUAACUCCGUGCCAGCAGCCGCGGUAAUACGGAGGGUGCGAGCGUUGUUCGGAUUUACUGGGCGUAAAGAGCGUGUAGGCGGUUUAGCAAGUCAGAUGUGAAAGCCCUGGGCUCAACCCGGGAAGUGCAUUUGAACUGCUUCACUAGAGUAUGGGAGAGGAGAUUGGAAUUCCUGGUGUAGAGGUGAAAUUCGUAGAUAUCAGGAGGAACACCCGUGGCGAAGGCGAUUCUCUGGACCAAUACUGACGCUGAGACGCGAAAGCGUGGGGAGCAAACAGGAUUAGAUACCCUCGUAGUC